GACGAACGCUGGCGGCGUGCCUAAUACAUGCAAGUAGAACGCUGAAGGAGGAGCUUGCUUCUCUGGAUGAGUUGCGAACGGGUGAGUAACGCGUAGGUAACCUGCCUGGUAGCGGGGGAUAACUAUUGGAAACGAUAGCUAAUACCGCAUAAGAGUAGAUGUUGCAUGACAUUUACUUAAAAGGUGCACUUGCAUCACUACCAGAUGGACCUGCGUUGUAUUAGCUAGUUGGUGGGGUAAGGGCUCACCAAGGCGACGAUACAUAGCCGACCUGAGAGGGUGAUCGGCCACACUGGGACUGAGACACGGCCCAGACUCCUACGGGAGGCAGCAGUAGGGAAUCUUCGGCAAUGGACGGAAGUCUGACCGAGCAACGCCGCGUGAGUGAAGAAGGUUUUCGGAUCGUAAAGC
rnacentral:rRNA from 1 species